AACGAACGCUGGCGGCAUGCCUAACACAUGCAAGUCGAACGAGACCUUCGGGUCUAGUGGCGCACGGGUGCGUAACGCGUGGGAACCUUCCCUUAGGUUCGGAAUAACUCCCCGAAAGGGGUGCUAAUACCGGAUAAUGUCUUCGGACCAAAGAUUUAUCGCCUUUGGAUGGGCCCGCGUUGGAUUAGCUAGUUGGUAGGGUAAAAGCCUACCAAGGCGACCAUCCAUAGCUGGUCUGAGAGGAUGAUCAGCCACACUGGGACUGAGACACGGCCCAGACUCCUACGGGAGGCAGCAGUGGGGAAUAUUGGAAAAUGGGCGAAAGCCUGAUCCAGCAAUGCCGCGUGAGUGAUGAAGGCCUUAGGGUUGUAAAGCUCUUUUAACCGGGAUGAUAAUGACAGUACCGGGAGAAUAAGCCCCGGCUAACUCCGUG
rnacentral:rRNA from 1 species